rnacentral:rRNA from 1 species
GCACAAGCAGCGGAGCGUGUGGUUUAAUUCGUUGCUACACGAAGAACCUUACCUGGGUUUGACAUAUAGGUUGUAGGGAACUGAAAGGGACGACCCUUCGGGGAGCCUAUACAGGUGUUGCAUGGCUGUCGUCAGCUCGUGUCGUGAGAUGUUCGGUUAAGUCCGCUAACGAGCGCAACCCUCGUCGUAUGUUAUAUGUGUCAUACGAGACUGCCGGUAAAAGCCGGAGGAAGGUGAGGAUGAUGUCAAGUCAGCAUGACCUUUAUAUCCAGGGCUACACACACGCUACAAUGGUCUGUACAAUGGGUAGCCAAGCCGCGAGGCGGAGCCAAUCCUGAAAGCAGGCCUCAGUUCAGAUUGCAGUCUGCAACUCGACUGCAUGAAGCCGGAGUUGCUAGUAACCGCAGGUCAGCAAUACUGCGGUGAAUACGUUCCCGGGUCUU